rnacentral:lncRNA from 1 species
CCCCUGUAAUUAUGCACAUUUAAAUAAAAAAUUAUUAUUUCAAAUAACUAGGUUAUACUGUAAAAUUCACAUAGACCUUUUUAUUAAAAUAGAAAAUGCAGACAAAGAGAGAAGGAGGUGCAGAUACAAUGCUUCCAUAUCUCACUUUCAGUGGCAAACACUAAUUAAAUAUAGACCAAGUAAAGCUGGGGACAAAACCCAGCAUAUUGGCAGAUCGGGAAGACCACACUGAAUUUGUAUUGCUUCUACACAAAGCGUAGAUUUGCUUGUUUAUCAUUACAUGCAUGCAUAGAUAGGAUAGAUAAGCAGGAUGUGAAGGAUGAAAGUAUUUCAUACUUGCAAAGCAGCAACACAACUUAACGGAUGCUAACUGUCAAGUAAAGGCAGGAAAACUAGGAGCAUUGCAUAAUUGUGCAUUAUCAUCAAUUAAGUGUUAACACUAAUUACGAUAGUUGUCGUUCAGCAACAAAUCCUAAGUAAACUUUUGUUAGAAUAACUAGAUAUAAAUGUUAAUAAACUACAGAUGUUCACUUGUAAAUAUGAAAUUGCAAAAGAGCAUUUGUGUUCAUAACUAUAAUGUAAAAAACAUCGAAGUGUCAGUUCUACUUGGCCAAUAUUUCAAUCAAAUAAUUGGGAGGUGAGGACAUUCCCUUGAGCGUGAAUUUUUGUAGGGCUCCUUUGUAUGGCAGUUGAUAGGUAAACACAAGUUGCUUCAGAUUAUUUUGAGCCUCCCAAUAAGUUACCGAAUGGGUUGUUCUCUUGGGCUGAUAGAGCAUAUGUUGCUGCAGUCGAUAGAAAUAUAGAUUUCAGAGUCUAGGGGAACCUUUUCAAAAGCCUCUAUAGAGAUCUUUUAAAUGACAGGCCUCAAAACAGCUGGGGGCUGAGAGUUUCUCCUCCCAUAAAGUGUGGGGGUUGAUGGUAUGCCAACAGUCAACAGGCCCUUUAUUGGACGAAGAGAGGCAUCCAUUUGAGGAGCUGUCAUUGACCAUUCCUUCUUGCAGGGUGGAGUUUGGUUAUGCACAUAGGUUAUGAUAACUAUGCGAGGAGCUUUCAAGAGUGGAGGAUCGAGCACCUUGUGAGGGAAUGAGGGACGAAGGAUUAUAGCGGGGGAUGGAUCCUCCCAUAAUAGAGGCAAGGGGGUUAAGAGAUAUCAUUUUGAUAACUCCAUUUGGGAUCCGGAGGCAAGCAGUAAUGACAAUGUGCCAUUUGUAGACAGCAAUGGAUUUGUGCCUUCUACUCGCCUAGGUUAAGGUUAUUUGUUUUAGCAUUCUUUGGACCUUAAGUGUAGAAACAAACUCACUUUAUCAUGUUGAGGUAGGCAAACAUGGUGUCAGAUGGACCACACGAUAUUGCGAAUAAGGUAAACAAGAUUGUGACAUUGGUAAACAAGAUUGUGACAUUGUCAGUUGUCUCAGUUUGUCAAGUAUCCCUUCAUACACAUUCAAAAGGAAGCCCAAGAACAAGAUGUGAUGUUUUCAGCAUGAAGCCACAAAAGUCAGAAGAAGCAUGAGAACUUAAGUGUCAACCAACAUUCGGGUCACCCUUAUGCCAAGAAUGUUGAGAUGGGCAAUUAUGAUAUCAAUUGGGCCAUAGAAUAUUGCCGCUACAGUAAACGAGUUCUAUGAAAUUGUCAAUCACCUCAGAUCCUCAAAUGUGCCUUCCAUACAAGACCUAUACGUGGACCCAAAUGUCAGCAAGAAGCAUGAGAACUUGUAAGCAGUAACUAAGAACUCGAUGGUCCGAAUUGCGAAUUGCCCAAGUGGGACCAGAUUGAGACACAGUAGUUACAGACAGAGAAGCCAAAAAUUGGCCAAACCUAAGAAUCCCACCCCUAUCUUAUUUUCAAAUAAAAUCAGCCAGUUGCAGCAGGCAUCCUACUCUCUAAACACUGUUUUAAGGUCUCACCCGACAUUGUAAUAACCUUUGUACCAAGCCGAAUGUCCCAUAUCUAUUUUUCAUCGUACUCAUACCAUAUCUGUUAACUGUGAAAAAGAGAAUCCUUGUGAUAAUGAAGUGGGAAUACACAAGAAAUUAGGAUGCAGAUAUCAGAGUUAUCACUGUUAUAAUGGCCAUGUAUGUCUUCUUCAACAAGUUGAGGAUGAAGGUACGACACAUAGGACCCCAUGCAAUUGCCAAAAAUUAAUUCGCUGACUUGCAUAGUACAAGGAUAGUAAAACAUUCAGAAGGAAAAACAUAUAGAGUAAUUUCUAAUAAUUAAUUUAUGCACUGAACAGUUUAACAUUACAUUGCAUUUAUACAGAGGACAGGAAAAAAGACCAUCUAAUUAAAUCACCCAUGUACAGUAGGGAACUAUUGCACAGCAUAAACAGAUGAAAUAGAUGCUGGAGAACAUAACAAAAUAAUAACACAAAUUGAAAAUGAGUAAUCAUCUAGUAAUAUAGCUUAAAUAUUAUCAAUAAUCACAAAGAUUUGUUUUGCAAAAGCAAUAACAAAAGAGCGAUAACUGACCAGCCUUUUUAAGUUUUAACAAGCAAACUUAAUUAAGUAUAUUAAAUAAAAUGCAUAAAGGAUAUUCAGCUAAGAGAACCAGAAGAUCUACCACAAUCCUCUACUUGAUUCAUAUGAUAGUUUGACCAAUAUUAACGACAAGGAGAUGCAACGGGAAUAAGUAAACUACAGAAUGCAAAGCCAUGAAAGAAACUACCUUCUUUCCCUCUUAUAUCAGGGACCAUAAAAGACAUCACACACGCCCACUUUGCCUACAAAUCACAACACAGCUUUAUUUGGAGAGAGGAACAGUGUCACCAUUAACAAGAUGAAGAAUAAAUCCAGUAACUUGUUAUGUGUUUGAUGGUAAAUAGAAUCUUGUGAACAUUGUCAGAAUCUAAGGUAAGUGUGAGCCUACAGUUACAGUAUGUUAUCAACUGGAUGGAAGAAACAUAAUUAACAAAUCAUUAAAAGAAUGUGUGGCAUCCAAACAUGGUAAGGUGAAUCACGCCCAAAACAGAGAUUGUAUCAAAUGCUUGAAUUGCAAAAGUGAACACAAGAUGCAAGGCUAAUCAAUUGAAAUUGCAAUUAAACAGCACUCUCACAUGUUUAAUGAAAUGAAGCAGGUAUAAAUAACUUUUGAUUUACUAGGCAAAGCCAGUUAUCGCUCUUUCCAGAAAAGGCACACUCAACUAAGGAUUGCCAUACAUAAACAAGACUAGAAUGGAAGAUGCCAUCUUUUGCAUUUAAAUCGCAUCACAGAGAAGUAAAUUCAUCAAAUUUCAGGACAAAUUCUGAUGUAGGACCAAUGCAAUUGGACGCUUACAAGUGUAUCAACCUUUGAUAGGCAUGUAUGGAGAUGGGGAAAGUAAAAUUAUGCAUAGGUUAGAAGUCCUGAUUGGGUAAGGAUUCACAAAUAGAAUCGAAGUCCUAGUCAAUCUGGAUUUGCUAAUCACUUUAGAAAUCCUAUUUGGUUUAGGACUCCUAGAAAAACCUUUUAAAAAACAAAUCCUAUUCUUUUGGAACCACAUGGUGGUUCACAUUUACUAAAGGAGAGAUCCUCCUCGGGAACCACACCCCACCAAGAGUCUCACAAGGUCUUGGCAUGCCAUCUCUUGGCUGCCAAGGGUGCUGUGCCAUCAAACUCCCUGAGGUUUAGGUUAGCUUUGUCCCUACUCUAUGCUUUAUUAUAGUGCCACUUCAUACAUAUGUUAAAAGGUUUGAUGGUGAAAUAAUCUAGAAGGCUUGUUGGUUAAGUCUCAUUAUGGUAUGCUCCAUCUAAAGGUGCAAUUUCUUCUCAUUCAAUCAUGUGCUUGUGGAGGCCAAGGCAAUUGCCAACUCCCUAAGAUAACAAGGGUUGAUGCCGAAGAAUUGAACAUCGAAGAUUCCAUCCCACUUCAUUAGUUGCUGAUCAUGUUUACACAAUCACUCUAUGCACAAAUUCUACUCGUGUAUAUGUCGAAUCCCAUAAGAAGUGCACAUUAAAACAGGUAAUCUUCAUCAACAUAGUAGUGCACAACAGGUGACCUUCAUCAACAUAAUCAGUUACAAUAUUAGAUACACAUAUGUAGAUAUUCAUUUAGAAUUUUAAUCAGUAUACCAACAAAAUCAAGGGACCAAAUUAGAACUAUGUGAACAAAUCCAUUUAAACCAACUCGGCAAAAUAUUUCACUGCAUGAUUAUUAGCAAUGACUUAUCGUUCUCUAAAAGUAAAUGAAAGCAGGACAAAUCGUUUUUUUUUUUUUUUCAAUGGUAACCAAGUCAUGUCAUAUUAUGUAAGUUCACCCUACAGUUCAAUCGAGAAUAUGCAACAUCCAAUAUCAUCAACUUGAAGAAAACAUAUAAUGGGUAAAUAAAUCAUAUAUGAUCUGCAGAAUAAAUACAUACAGUUCUAGACAGCAGAUUUUAAUGCACAAGUGUCAGUUCAAUAAAGUACUGAAGCGCUUGGUAAAGGCUUCAAAACUAUAAAGCUCAUAACAAGCAGGGCAAACAAAAAUAAAUACAUAGCAAUCAAUCCAUGUACAAUUUGCCCUCGAAAAAGUCUUCAUAACUGACUGUACCUAUUCAAUUUUAUGAAAACAUUUAUCACUUACCAAAAAAAUAUUUUUUCAAGCAUAAUAUUUUCAUGACAAUAAACCAAUAAAAAAACAAAUUUCUCUGAUAAGGCGUUAUAUAAAUGAUAAUCCCAAAUUAAUACAGUGAAUAGCAUAACCACUCAACUAUCAUAUCUUAAAAAGAAGGUGAUUACCAAACAAUAGAGAGUAUCAAAAAGGAAG